rnacentral:lncRNA from 1 species
AAGAAAAAAGAAAAAAGAUAGUUGAAGGAGCUAUUGAGGGGGUAACAGAUGCCAGAAAGUAAGAGAUUAGAGGGCAACAGAAGAUGGUGGUAUUCUCACAAAGUGCAAAGAAGAAGAAGAAAAAAUUUCAUGAGAUUCGCCAGUGAAUAAUCCCAGGAACCAAGCAGAAAAGUCUAGAGCUGACUGGUCCCCAGGGACAAUAAGGGUACUGAAGGGAGGUAUGCACUGUUUUGAAAGACACAGUACUUCAUGUAGACACUUUCUUGAGAUUUAGUGCUAAAGGGAGAAUCCACAUGUGAUGAGGACCAAUGUUUCAGAUUAAUUCCCUUCAACAGAAUUGAUGUCUUCAUUGUAGAUUGAUUUUUAUUAUAGAAUAAAUCUUCAUUACCACAUUCUAAAAUUAAAUGAUGUAUAUAUUUAAACCAACCCUUGGUUAUAGGAAUACAACAUGAACUUAUGUAGAAGAUGUCGUAUCUCUAAUACGCUUAUUAUUAAGCCUUAUACAUUCAUUCCUCUUCACGCACAUAACGCGUUCCUGGCACUGUGCUGGGGGCUGGGAAACCAAAGUGAAUUGCUCUCAUGGAGCUGGUGAAGAUAAAUGUAAACUAAAUAGAGAAAGAGAGAAAAUAAGGAUUGCCUGUUAUUGACAAGGUUCUAAGUGCUGAAAUCCAGAAUGAGGAGCAGGAUACACUGUGAAUAAGGUAGCAAGGUCUGUUUUAGUCAUCUUCAGGAUGACCUGAAGUGACUGGACUAGCAUAAGAAUUUAGUAAUUCUUUAUAAUUAUUACUAUUCUAUUCAGUAAUUACUAGUGGUUAGAUAACUCUUUAGAGGAAAUGCGUAGCAUUCUUUUAGGCACUUUUAUAACUUAAUGACCAGAGAAGAGAGGAAGAAAACCAGUAUCAAUCAGUGCCUGUCAUGUGCCAGACAUUGCUCACAUAUCUUAUCACAGUCCUUAUUAUACUCUUAUACUCAUUUUUCAGAUGGAAGAGCCAAGGUCCUAAAUAGUCAUUUCUUGCCCAAGAGCUCAGUCAAAAGCUCCUUCCACUAUACCAUCCAUUAGACAUAGAUCUGAACUGCAUCUGUAAAAGGCAAUAACUUACUUCCUUAUCACCAAAUGGAUUAACUUUAAAACAAGACCUUUUUAGGAGUUCCCGUUGUGGCUCAGCGGAAACUAACCUAACUAGGAUCCCAUGAGGAUACAGAUUCAAUCCUUGGCCUUGCUCAGUAGAGUAAUGAUCCAGCGUUGCCCUGAGCUGGGGCAUAGGCUGGCAGCUAGGCUCAGUUUCAAUUUAACCACAGCAAGAGCCCCACUGUCUAUUUCUUUGCUCCAAGUGCCCUUUAUCUUAUCUUAUUCCUUCACCAUAGCCACAGAGAGUUAAUGAUUUGCUCGUGAUCAACAUUUAUUGAGGUGUCAGACAGGACGCUGGGUGCUGGGUACAAACGAUGAGCUGAUGUUGCCUCGAGGAGUCUGGUCUCAUAACUGAAUGACAUUCUAAACUGUUCUCUCCGCCCUUUCCAUCCCUUUCUCCUCCCUCUGUCCUGGGAAGGGAUCUUUAGCCUAGUCCUCCGGGGUGGUUAAUCUUUCCAUGAACUGGCCGAGGUGGACCAGUUGAGCCUGCCAGAUCGAAAGAUCAAAGGCACCUGGAGCCUUGACGCCUGGAGGAAGCCAGCCGGGCUUUCAAGAAUGCCGUUGGCACCACAUGAGUUUCCAAGGGCAUCGCCAGAAUUUGGAGAAAAGGAUGCAAAGCUAAGAAAGGAAGUUCGGCUUGCCAGCUGGUUUGGGCCAGUGCUUCUGUUGGUCGAGCUGGGUUGUUACUUUAAGAACCCUUCCUGGGCGGUUUCCCUGCGCGGGGUUGGUCCCCACUGGCACACGCACCUGGUGGUCUUCGAGGCGGCACCUGGAAAGGGAUGUGGACCCAGGAUGCUGUGUAGGCUGAGGCUUGGAACUCGGUGUCUCCAUAGUCUCCUUCCGCCCACUUCCAGAAACUCAUCUCCGGGUCAAAAAGCCUUGGAGGAGCCGUUCCCUAUGAACGCUUUUGGCUUGGGUCCCUCCCUGGUCCUCGAGCUCCACCUGGCGUGCACUCUGCGUUCCCCUGAACCCCUGCACCCCAUCCUAGGCAGACUUCUCACCAGCCAGAAUCACAGAGCCAGAGCCCAGAGCAAACCCAACUACUCCUCCUGGAGCGAAGGGGUUCCAGGCGCCCAGAUCUCUCUCCCCCAGUAAGGGCUGCAACCAAGCCAGUAGCAGUGGAGGCCCUAAUCCAUCCGGGUCUUUAAUCCAUCAGCUGAUGGCUGAAAUCUCUUUGAGCACGCAAGACAAAUACCCACACAGAUCCAUACACCAGGGUCGUACAAAUCUUUUAUUUUCUGAGGAAGACUGGUUUGAUGUCGUAACUGGCAUUUAACCCAUUCAGAAUAAUACACUGAAUGCCACCGUGGAGUGAGUAGAAAAGUAAAUGAAACUGGAGCCCAGAACAUGCAGACUCUAAAGGAAAAACAAAAACCAAAAAACUUCCCCAAUAUUUCCCUUCCCUCUGCAUUAACUUCUUUUGUUUCUCUAGUGACGCACAUCCCCAGAGAUCCUCAGAGUCUGCUUCCUGGACCAGCAACUUUUGGGAUCUUGUUAGAAGUAGAAAUUCUGGAGCCCCACCUCAGACCUUUUGAAUCUGAAACUCAGCUGGGGGAGCACAAACAUCUGCUUCCAGCAAUCUUCUGGGUGAUUCUCAUACACACUGAAGAACCAACCGUAGGCUUCAAGCCUCCCCUGGACAGUACUUCCCACAGAUCACGAAAUACAACCAGCAGGUACUACCUUGUUUAGCACUGUUUUUAGAAAGAGGUCUCCGAUGUGACUGGCGGAAAAGCUGCUGGAAGCACAAUGAGUUGCCUUUAAAACGUCAUAAAAGGAAUCAGAGAGGGAGAGGAGAGGGACUUCCCCGGCUGCCGUCCACUUUCAGUAUCUGUCUACUUCUGAGAACUCACAGACGGUGAUUUGAAAUACUUCAUUUUCCUCUCAGGCUUCUACAACCUGCUUUGGUCAUUCCCCUGGUUCUCUCUGAAAGCAUCUUCUAGGACAAUUUUUAUAACGAAGAGGCCACGGACAGGACAGUCUCCCUCACCCCUAUCUGGCUUGUAGUAAAAGGGAUCCCCCACUCUUCCAGUUGCCCAUUGCUUCCAGUUUAAAUCAAGACACACACUGAGCACCUAGACUGGCAGUCACAUCCUGCUGGGACAGGUUUGUGACACAGGGAAGUAGGGCAUGGUGGGUGAGGGAGUGCUGAUGAUCUGGCAGAAGAGAAGGGCACUUGGGAAUGAUGGACGUUUAGACUGUGGAUGUGUGUGUGGAGGGGUGUGGGGCAGUCACAUUACCCUGUGCCAAGGCUAGUGCUGGCCACAACCCGUCAUUCGCUUUCAGUGCACAACCCUUGGGUCCCCAAGUGAGCCCAGGCCUGAAGGCUGUGACCUCUUUGCUCUGGGCUUCCUGACAGCCAGGCACUAUUUGCUGGUCCCAGACCCUAUCUUUGCUCUCUAAAUAUUUCUGAAUUCCUGACUUCUAGAGGAUCAUUACAUUGCUGUAAGUCUCUGGACAAAUUUGGAGAACAUUGAGGAAGGGUAAAGGUGUGUGUGUGUGUGUGUGUGUGUGUGUGUGCGCGUGUGUGUGCGCCUGAGAGAGACAGAGAGAGAGGGAGGGAGAAAGAGAGAGGGAGAGAGUUGUAACCUUUAACAUUGCAACGACGACGAGGUGUUUUGGUUCUAGCAAUAAAAGGACCUUAGCCUGUGUGGUAUAAACUCACCCCUUUAAGCUUCCUGCCUGAAGCUCAGGUCUAUUAUAGACUGCUCGCUGCCAGCCACUUCGUACAAAUGACUAAUAUUUGCAUGGAUCUUUUCCUCUACAAAGCAACUGCAAAAAUGUAAUUUCAUUUGAGUGCCACGAAUGCUUUGUGAGGUGAAAGAGGAAAAGAAUGUAUGUGAUCAUUAUUAUCUCAUAAUCACCUUUAUCCCCACUUUCGGAGAUGAGGAAACUGAGGAUCCAAACCCUUUCAGGAAACAAAAACAAAAACAAAAAUAAAACUAAAGCUGGAGCCCAAACUAGGGCUUAACCUGUGUGUCUUGUAUACAUAGAUUCAGGCAUUAUGCGGUGGGAGGCAUGAGAACUUUUUAACAAAUCCGUUUGCAAUUAGGGGUCUUCACAGAAUGAAUGAACCAGCCAAAGUUACUUCUCUGGGGGGCUGCCUUUGUGGGGUGCUCAGAAUUUUAAGCAUCUGUUUGUAAAAACAUGAGUGGGAGCUUGGAAAUUUUGCUGAACGUGAAGUACAAACUGAAUCUCGUUGGAACUCAUCUCUGACUUGAACUCUGGAUCAGGGAGCCCUGGAGCCUAAGGCGGACUGUCCCUGUAGCAGAAGCGAAUGAAAGUAGUGGUGGCCAGAGCUUAAAAUGCUCUCCUGAAGGUCAAGUCGGGGUAGGGGGUUGGGGGAGUGGUAGGGAAGCCUGACGCCUUAAUAGUCCUCCGACGACGUGCAGUUGACAGGCACGUGGAUGAGGAGUCAGCCUUUGGAAAAUGGAGGUGUGGACUUGGUAACGUGGGAACUACCACCGACAGGGACCAUCCCUCCAGCCCAGCGAUUCCCCGGUCAAGAGGAGGAGUUGGUUGGAGGUAAGGGCAGCUCUUACUCCAGGUACCAAACUGAAC